rnacentral:lncRNA from 1 species
CAGAGUCAGACCGAGGCUCCUGCGGUGGAGGAUUGGGUGCAGCGCUCCAAAGAGACCUGGAGGGCUGUCCAGGAAUCCCUCAAGCAAGCAGCUGGAUGGCAGAAGAGGAACGCUGACCGCCACCGCAGCCGGUGGUAGCUGGUCCCCUGCAAGAAGGUGAGGUGCCGGAGGUCUCUCCGCCCCCUCUGGCCAUUGAGGGGUCCCCGGCGUACACAGUACGUGCUGUUCUGGACUCGAGACGCCGGUGAUGAUGGGAAAGGUGACCUCGGACAAGCAGAGGAGGCAGAGGAGAAGCCCAACAUACCCUCAGAGAAGGACCCCGAGGAGGAGGAAGCUCUAGAGGAGAACCCCUUUACCAUGUUUAGUCUGACAACGUCUAACUGUCUACCCGUCAGUGAUAACACUUCACCAACCAUGAAAAAUACUUUUGCAGGUCUCACCUUCAGGAAAGAGGUCUUCUGACACAAAAUAAGAAUGUGUCAUAGCACACACAAUCUGACGUUUGAUUGAUUGUAAAUGUGAGGCCACGGUUCCAAGCAUCUCACUGCCUGGCAGUAAUGAUGUCACUUUAUUGAUUUACUGACGGAUUUACUCAUCGAAAUGGAAAGAUAAUUCCUUUUAAGUCUAUGGAUUUACUGGUUAUGACUGAAUGACUAAGACAAUUAUUUUUGUCAUUCACGCUCAGCGGUUCAACAGCAGAGCUCACGAUCCAGG